GGGGACUGAUUUAAAAGCUGGGGGAAAAACACACCCGACAGGAAUCUGGGUUCACUGUGACGAGGGGCACAAAACGUGUGGCCUUGUGAUGAACAGAAACCCAACGCGU
rnacentral:snoRNA from 1 species